UGCCCCCAUAGCUCAAUUGGAUAGAGCAUCUCCGUCCUAAGGAGAGGGUUGCAUGUUCGAUUCAUGCUGGGGGCAU
rnacentral:tRNA from 1 species